rnacentral:misc_RNA from 1 species
UUUCCGUAGGUGAACCUGCGGAAGGAUCAUUAUUGAAUGAACUUGGCUUGGUUGCUGCUGGUCUUUUCGAAGACAUGUGCACGCCAUGUCAUCUUUAUAUCUCCACCUGUGCACCUUUUGUAGACCUGGAUUCAAUUUUCCGAGGUAACUCGGUCGUGAGGAACUGCUUAACGGCUUUCCUUGUUAGUUUCCAGGCCUAUGUUUUCAUAUACACCAUACGAAUGUAACAGAAUGUCAUUAUUAGGCUUAAUUGUCUUAUAAACUAUAUACAACUUUCAGCAACGGAUCUCUUGGCUCUC